CCGAAUAUUCGGCUGAGAUCCGGAACCAAGUGAUACCUCCAAAUCGAAGGAAUUACAUGGAACCGGUCGUUCUCUCUUUCUCCUCUCCCGCGACCCCUUGUCUCGCCGUCUGGUGCGCCGCCGCCCCCUCGUCUCAGCCCCUCCCUCUCCGGUACACCGCCCCCUCGUCUCGCCGUCUAGUGCGCCGCCGCACCUCGUCUGGGCCCUCCCUCUCCGGGGAAGAAGAGGAGCACGUGCAGCCGGCGAGCAGCUGCGUGGCUGCAGUCAUGCAACGGGUUGCAGCGGGGCUACAUCAACGGCAGAGGGUCGCCCAGCACCUGGAUUUGCACCUGAUUUCGAUCAAGAGAGUGCUAACCUCGCUUCAGGAGGGCCAAUUGUUCAGAAUGUAACCAUACUUUUUGGCGAAUGAACUUGCCAUCUUACGAAAUUGUGUUCUAUGUGAUGUAAUACAUAUAUCAUGCUUGUGAAUAUAUACUGUUAUAUUGUUUUUUUUAAAUACAAAUGAAAUGUUGCCGAAA